rnacentral:rRNA from 1 species
GAGUUUGAUCCUGGCUCAGAACGAACGCUGGCGGCGUGCCUAAUACAUGCAAGUCGAGCGAGAAAGUCUCUUCGGAGGCGAGUAAAGCGGCGCACGGGUGAGUAACACGUGGGUAACCUGCCCUUGAGUCUGGGAUAACCCGGGGAAACUCGGGCUAAUACCGGAUACGGCUGCGGGGUCUUCGGAUCCUGUGGAGAAAGAUGGCCUCUUCAUGAAUGCUAUCUCUCAAGGAUGAGCCCGCGUCCUAUUAGCUAGUUGGUGGGGUAACGGCCCACCAAGGCGAAGAUGGGUAGCUGGUCUGAGAGGAUGACCAGCCACACUGGAACUGAGACACGGUCCAGACUCCUACGGGAGGCAGCAGUAGGGAAUUUUGGGCAAUGGGCGAAAGCCUGACCCAGCAACGCCGCGUGUGGGAUGAAGGCCCUCGGGUCGUAAACCACUGUCAGGAGGAAAGAAAACCGGCCGGGUAAUAUUCGGUCGGUCUGACGGUACCUCCAAAGGAAGCACCGGCUAACUCCGUGCCAGCAGCCGCGGUAA